UAGCCAUAUCGGUGAACCUCGUUCUCGGUGUCGUGCUCGUGUGAUUGCUUGUACCUCGGAUGAUCGACGGAGUGCCUCGGAUUUAUUCUAACAAGUGGUAUCAUGAGCAAGGUUACGGACAGGCUGUUGCGUUGAGCCGAGUUCGUUCGCUGAUUUAGUUCGUCAUGGGAGACGAUCGUGUAUCAGCGGAAGAAAGCGGCGGUCGAAGAAAUCGAUGGAAGCAGCGGGGCGUAAUGCGUGCAAGCUGGCGGCGGUUUGUUCAGAGUCUCGACGAGAUGCGAUCGAAAUCAGCGGCAUCAGGAGAGUCGUGAGGCGGUCGGUCGACGGAUUGAUGGUGCGAGCGUACUCUAGGCGGGCGCUGAGAUCGCUGGCGCUUGGUGGCUCGUUGGGCAGCAAGCCCAGGUGGGGCUGGCCGUAGCGAUCCGUGCAGGUGGGCAGGGCAAGGCGUGCAACGCGAGCAGGUUCAGUUGGCCGGUGAAGCACGCAGGAAGCGCAACAAAGCAGCGAAACGAGUUUUGUUUGUAAAAAAAAAGGACCGGGUCCUUGUGUGACACGGACUGAGGCAGAUCAAUCGGUAAGGAAAAAGUCUAUCAAGGGACAUGCGUACAUCAGGAGGCUAAGGAUUUGACAAAGCAAAUAGCUAGCAUUGAGAGUUGAGCCUAGGAGCUACAUCACGUGAAGACCGACAUUGUUUUGGUUGAAUUGCUACUAGUCUACUACUCUUAAUGGACGACUUGGUGAAUAGUCAUCUGGUCAAAUUUCGCUGGUUAUUUUUCGUCAUACUCCCACCGUCGGUUUUUUUUCUUCAUCAUAUUCCGGUUUAUUUUCGUCAUCCUAUCGAAAACAGAUGCGCUCGAUCCCCUCUCACGCUAGGGUUCGUAGAGGUUGCGCCGCCACCGCUCGGCUCGGCCUCCUCCUUCCCUUCCCUCCCCCCACCUCCAGCCACACCCAUCCGACCACCUGCCGGAUCACGCGCCGCCACGCCUGCAUCGCUCCGGUCUUCUCCCACAACUCGCGCAUCGCAAUGGCGCUCGCGCCCACGCGGUCUCCUCCAUGACCUCUCUCCCUUGCGGCGGCGGCGGCACACAUGACGCAUCUGACGGCGAGCUCCACAGGUCAACGCAUCCUCUCUUCUCUCCCAUGGAAGUCCCUCCCCUCUCACAUCUCUCUCUGUCUGCGAGCGGUGGCGGCCGGCUACGCGAGAGGUCGAUCUGGUCACGCCUUCCCACCAUUGACCGCGCUACGUCGCUAUCGGAGGGGCACCCUGCCGCUGUCGGGGACUCGCCGUCAUUGAAGCACGCCACCACGCCGCCGCUCUUCUGUCUCUCCCUGCUCGCCUCCCGCGGCAAAGACUGACCGCAUCCUGCACAAUCUUCGUCCGCCCCUCGAUUCCGACCCACCUGCGUGAAACAGACCGGCGAAGAAAUUUGGGCGCACAUCUCGCCUCACCAAAACAAUAAGAUUGCUUACCUCUCGCGCGUAUGACUUGGGGCGGCGGCGGCCGCCGCGGCCGUCAGCCGUUCAGAGCCUCCCACGACGGCACCAACGUCGGGCGGCCAAAGCCCAGCAUCAACGCCCAUUCCUUUUUUGCGUGUGCACUCUCCUCCAUUGCAUCCCCCUUCUCCAGCGCGCAUGGCUGAACCGUUGGAUCGAUGGCGUGCGUCUCUGCAUGUGCGUGCGAGUGGGCAUACGUGAUCUGUCCAUGGCGGGCAUGCGAGUGUGCUGUGUUGGGCGUGUUUGUCCCGUGGAUGCCCUGUGCACCUGCAGGAUCCAGACGGCUGUCUGUGGCCAAGCUCCGCCAUCCUACGCCGUAGGACUGACCCAGGCGACCUGAUCAGAGCAGGUUCGAUCUGAUAUACCCUUUUUUCCAUGGUCUUCCCACCCCCUCCCCUAUCAUCCGAUGUAUCAAGAAUCGAGGGUCAAGGCUAAUAUAGGAGGGUUGAUGAUCUAUAAUCAGCAGAUCGAUGGCCAUGAAGAUGGAGCCUGGAGCCAAGUAGCAGCUUUCCGGUUUAAGCUAGCUGAUGUAGAUGGAUAACGCUGUCGCCGCUAAUCAAGAGCGCGAGGGUGGCCAGGCGUGGCUGGGUGGUGACCUCGUGCAGAUCGCAAUCUGGAGGUAGGAAAAGGAGGUGCAUGUGUGCUGUGUUCAGGAAUUUGAACUCUAUUUCAACGUGAUCGACAUCCCAUUGUGAUGCACCGUCAGAUUGUUACCGUUUUUUUGGAGAAAGUUUGAUAUGAUUUUUCAUGGAAGGAUUCGCCUGUAUUAAAUGCCUUACUGAAUAUAGCAUUGGUUGCUUGAUUAGCAUUACUUCUUGAAGGACAAAACUAUUGAUUCUUUUUGGCUACAGCAAAAAGUUUUGGAUGCAGAGCUGGGUGGUUUCUUCAUAGAACUAAGGAGCCAGUAAAAAAACAUGAGAAUUCGUCACCUGUCUUAGCCAUCGCAACCUCCUGAACAAGGUUCCAAAGUUUGGCCGCAGCUAGCUUGAUAUGGAGACAUUUCCUAUUAGGAGUUAAACUUUGGUUUGGAGGAUCGAGCUUUGGCUGUAACUAGCUUUGUUACUUGGUAUACCUCUGUCAGCAUUCAGGAGCCGGGUAUUUGUUGAGCGGGUUGUGUGAGAGGCGGUCGGCGAGCACGGGCUAGACGGGAAGGUGAUGCUUGCAAUGGCGACCAUGCCGGUGGGCAGGGCAAGGUCGAUUGUGUCCAUUAUGGUGUUUCCGAGGGGGAGCGAGGCAUCUGCCAUCGCGCAUCUGAAGAAGUCGAUGCUCGGGGCGAGGUUGAUCACCGUGGCCGGCGUGAAAGCAGACGGACUUACAAGUUUCUUGGAUACGGCGCUUGCCUUUUUCCUGUAGGGGUUUCAGUCCGUAGGAGUAGUAUCUGCCAAAAAAAGGGAUGGUACGUUUCUUGAUUUGCCGGAGCAAAAAGGUGUUGGGUUUCCUGGUAUCUGAAUCCAAAGUUGCUUUGGACAGUUAAACGCCUAAA